GUGGACCUCGGAUCAGGUAGGAAUACCCGCUGAA
rnacentral:rRNA from 1 species